rfam:Dipodomys ordii contig_56321, whole genome shotgun sequence.
GGGAAGGUGGCUCAGUGGUAGAGUGCUUGCCUUGCAUGCACGAGGCCCUGGGUUCGAUUCCUCAGCGCCA